rnacentral:misc_RNA from 1 species
AAGUCGUAACAAGGUAACCGUAGGUGAACCUGCGGUUGGAUCAUUACCGAUUGCUUUCACACUCGCUCUGGCUUCAGGGUUUGAGGGUGAUUGUAUCCACCUAUUGUGCACUGUCUUGUCUCUGGCGGCGGGGUUGGGUUGCAACUUUGUUGCUCCAACCUGUCAGCUUGCCUGGCCAAUACUAUAUUGGUCAGGUUCAGGCCGUGGACAAACCGCCAAUGGCAUUCAGCCUAUUCAACUUUCUAUUACUUGCCCAGUUUUCUGUCUGAAGUGAUUUACGUAUAUAACAAUAUACAAACAACUUUUGGCAACGGAUCUCUUGGCUCUC